GGGAUUGUAGUAUAGUGGUCAGUACUUCUCGUUGUGGUUUCAGUUUCCAUUGUGGACGAACACAGCGAUCCGAGAGGACCCAGGUUCGAUUCCUGGCAAUCCCA